CCGGGAUUCGAACCCUCGUCCUCUGACUUUCAGGCAAAGAGGGCACAUUUCCAGGUUCAGGGAAAACUCCAGGAGGCAUCUCACACAGGGGCCCGUCCCCGUGUCCACGAAGCUUCUGACGCGCCACUGGAUUAUACCCGUUGGUCUGUCUCGGCUUCCGUCGUGCGAAAGGGGCCAUGAACGAGACAGUCACCUCAUCAGCUCCACGUCCACCCCACCGACUUCUCGGCGGCCUCGGCGGCCCCCGGUCAUCUCCCCGGCUCCGCGUCGACCCCGUCGAUUUCCCGGCGGUCUCGCCGGCUCCGCGGCCGUAUCGUCGGCCCCACGGUCGUCUCGUCGGUUCCGCGUCGACCUCGUCGACCUCUCGGGGGUCUCCUCGGCUCCACGGUCGUCUCGUCGGCUCCACGGCGGUCUAAUCAGCUUCGCUUGUAGAAAACUCUCACUGUAACAGCCGUCAGUCGAUCACUGGCUUGUAUUAAGCCUCUACUAGCCUCUACUAGAGGGACUACGCUCCGGUUUGGGGGACCGCAGCUGUAACGGACCCCCAGUUCCUAGCCCUCGUUUACGAAGCGUCGGUGCGUAAACCCCGCAGCUUGAUGCACCCGGGGGCGGGACCGAGGCCUCCAGAGAUACUCCAGAAAUCUGUGAUGUGGAGUCCCUUUCUGCCUUCCCUGAGAGACAAGGGGAGGAGGCAGGAGUCUAAUUCUCUCCUGUUUUCCUCCGCACUCGGUACGGUGCUCUGUAAAUAAACGUGGUGGGCACCCA